GCGACCCCAGGAUGGGCGAGGCCACCCGCCGAGUUUAAGCAUAUCAAUAAG
rnacentral:rRNA from 2 species